rnacentral:rRNA from 1 species
AGCAGCCGCCGCGGUAAUACGAAGGGUGCAAGCGUUAAUCGGAAUUACUGGGCGUAAAGCGUGCGUAGGCGGUGAGUUAAGUCUGCUGUGAAAUCCCCGGGCUCAACCUGGGAAUGGCAGUGGAUACUGGCUCGCUAGAGUGUGUCAGAGGAUGGUGGAAUUCCCGGUGUAGCGGUGAAAUGCGUAGAGGUCGGGAGGAACAUCAGUGGCGAAGGCGGCCAUCUGGGACAACACUGACGCUGAGGCACGAAAGCGUGGGGAGCAAACAGGAUUAGAUACCCCAGUAGUCCCUGUCUCUUAUAC